CCUCAGCCGCCGCCAAGGUGCUCGGUUCUUCCGAGGAAGCUAAGGCCGCGUUGGGGUGAGGCCCUCACUUCUUCCGGCGACUAGCACCACGCCCGGCAGCCCGCAUCAUGGCCUCCGUGUCCGAGCUCGCCUGCAUCUACUCCGCGCUUAUCCUGCACGACGACGAGGUGACCGUGACGGAGGAUAAGAUCAAUGCCCUCAUUAAAGCGGCUGGUGUCAAUGUCGAACCUUUUUGGCCUGGCUUGUUUGCAAAGGCCCUGGCCAAUGUCAACAUCGGGAGCCUCAUCUGCAAUGUAGGGGCUGGAGGUCCUCCCCCUGCUGCGGGCGCUGGUACUGAGCGCAGUGGACCUGGCGCCUGCUCCUACCUCCCAAGCUGUUAG